GCCAAUCAAGAGAUGAUCAACAGUAUUUCACCGGAUUAUUACAAGAGGCUGAAAAGAACAGCCGUGUAGUAAUCUUUAAAACACGCCAGCACAACAUUUUUGUGAAUGCAGAAAAAGACAGAACUCCAGUCAAAUUAUGUAACAUCAGCUUUUCACCAUCUCGACAAAUUAAAGGAGACAUGGACAUAAUGGUCAAUAACAGUUCAUCAUUAAAAUGUGUCCGUCGGCUGUCAUUUGCCUUUGAAGAAAAGCUGCAGGAGACCAUUCAACACCAGAAACUGAAA